CAAACCACACUGUGGUGUUAGAGCGAG
rnacentral:miRNA from 1 species